GCGAGUUGGCGUGUGGCUUUCGAGCCUCCAAGAGAGGCUUGAGGAAACUCCGCCCACACGUAGAAUUGCAACGCCCGCAAGGGCGUAAGGCGAGAGCCUUGGCAACGGAGCAGAAACGAAACGUCCACCCAGCAAGUGCCUAUGAUGCAUGCUAAGUUGUUGAGAAUGCUGGGUGGAAACGGUGAAACGGCCGUCCUGCAAGUGGAAAGGGCAAAUAGACGCCUGUGAGGAGUCUACCCAGAGGCGUGGGUAGCCCGAUUAGUCGAAUGCCACAUGAACAGAAGGCGGGUUACAGCCAACACGC
rnacentral:RNase_P_RNA from 1 species